CAGUAACGUUGGAUGUGCCUUGUUUCGGAACACCUUCUGCAACCUGUUUCUGAGUACCAGCGCUCAAUGAAAGUUGUCGAGGAACAGUAGAACGUUUCCAACACUUGGAUGACGCUGAAGAACUGCUCCGCUUGGUUGGAUCUUUGAAAUAAAACAAUUUCACUUAACGAGACGUUGGAACUACUUAUUUAAAGUUACAUUUACAUUUCAGUCGAACAUUUUUUAUAUAUUUGGAAAAAUUGUACUUCUUUAUGAUCGAGUGCAUUUAAUAUCAGAGUGCCAGAGUGAGAACCAUUAAAAUCAUACAAUAUAUACUGCCAGGUAUUGUUUUACCAAAGACAAUCCAUGCACUUCAGGUGACAAAUAAGAAUCACGAAACUGGAUAGACAUCUAAGAAAAAUCGAACAAAUGACCAACCAACAGGCUCGUCAAGGUUCAUUAGAGGUUGCAAUGAGAUGCAAUUGCAAAUUUUGACCAAUAGGUAGUUGAAGAGAAAACCAGUUUCUUCAAUGUGAGAUAUUCUUGAAUAAAACUUGAAUCUUACUGAAUUCGAGCUAAAAUUGUUAAAAGAUUUUUUCUAUAAACUGCAGUAUUGCUAAUGUUUAAAUAACCAAAUGAAAGCUUCUAACAAUUUUAACUGCAGUAAGAUGGAAUAAUAAAGUUUUUUGAAACGAAGAUUUCUAGCAGGAUACGAAGAGUUCGGUAAAGAAGACAUUUGUUAAUGACUGCUCAGAUCGCUAUGACUGGAGGAAGUGCUCGGUGGACUUUCCGGUCUGGUUGUUGACUCCUCCUCCAUUCCAGGAUAUUGCAAAGAACUUGGUGGAUUGUAGACAUUCUUUGGAUCUACCGACAGAGCCAUUUGUGGCUGUGCCACUAGUGCGGAAUAACUUACUGGGCGACAGAUCAGACGACACCAUCUCAGAGACAAAAUCGCUCAAGGAAGAAUAAGAGGAGCUGGUACUCUCAGCACCCUCGGAGUCUGAUCCACUUUCAUCGGAAAAUAAAUGGGUUCGAGGCUCGAAGCGUACCACUUUGGCUUAUCACCGAUUUGCGUUGGGUCGAACACACCGGUCUGUACCCUGAGGAAU